rnacentral:sRNA from 1 species
GCCGGGUGCAGUGGCACAUGCCUGUAAUCCCAGCAGCUGGGGAGGCUGAGGCAGGAGGAUUGCAAUUCAAAGUCACCCUCAGCAACAGCAAGACCCUAAGCAACUCAGUGAGACCCUGUCUCUA